rnacentral:rRNA from 1 species
CUACACGGGUAUCUAAUCCUGUUCGCUCCCCACGCUUUCGCUCCUCAGCGUCAGUAAUGGCCCAGAGAUCCGCCUUCGCCACCGGUGUUCCUCCUGAUAUCUGCGCAUUUCACCGCUACACCAGGAAUUCCGAUCUCCCCUACCACACUCUAGCCUGCCCGUAUCGAAUGCAGACCCGGGGUUAAGCCCCGGGCUUUCACAUCCGACGCGACAAGCCGCCUACGAGCUCUUUACGCCCAAUAAUUCCGGACAACGCUCGCACCCUACGUAUUACCGCGGCUGCUGGCAC